AGUUGGUUUGAUUCUGAUCAAAAAAUUAAUUUUUUGAAAUAUAUACAUGUAAGUUUUUGCUUAUUAAAAAUUAAUUGAUUUAUUUUUAGCAGUAUUUAAUAUUAAAUAUGAAUUUAUUUUUGAUUUGGAUAUUUUUUAUAAUAUUGUAUAUGUUUGUGCCAGCAUACGCGGUUAUACAAUAAAUGUGAAUUAAUUAUUUUGGUUAAUUGAUAGUUAAAUUUAUUUUUGAAUUUAAUAUUUUUGUUUUUAGGUGAAAUUUAAAUUUUAAUUAAUUUUAUUUUUGUUUCUUCGAAAUAUAUUAAUAAACUAGGAUUAGAUACCCUAUUAUUUUAUAUGUAAAUUUUAACCUGGGUAAUAAUAGUUAUUUUCUUUAAACCUAAAGAAUUUGGCGGUAUUUUAGUCUAUUCAGAGGAACUUGCUCUAUAAUCGAUAAUCCUCGUUUUAUCUAGCUUUAUUUUGUUUACAGUAUGUAUACCGCCGUUAUAAGUUUAUUUUUUUAGAAAUUUAAUUUACUUAAAUCUUUAUUAAGAUUUAUUUCAGGUCAAGGUGCAGCUAAUAAUUAAGUAGAGGUGAGUUACAAUAUUUAUGAAUAAAUGGAUAUUUAUUUUAAAAUUUUAUUGAAGGUGGAUUUGAUAGUAAUUUUUAUUAUAAUAUUAUUUUGAUUUUAGCUCUAAAAUAAGUACAUAUCGCCCGUCGCUCUCAAUUUAUUUGAGAUAAGUCGUAACAUAGUAGAUGUACUGGAAAGUGUAUCUAGAAUUAAUAAUUUA
rnacentral:ncRNA from 1 species